CUGCUCAGAACGAACGCUGGCGGCACGNNAACACAUGCAAGUCGAGCGCACCUUCGGGUGAGCGGCGGACGGGUUAGUAACGCGUGGGAACAUGCCCAGAUCUACGGAAUAGCCUCGGGAAACUGAGAGUAAUACCGUAUACGCCCUUCGGGGGAAAGAUUUAUCGGAUUUGGAUUGGCCCGCGUUAGAUUAGGUAGUUGGUGGGGUAAUGGCCUACCAAGCCUACGAUCUAUAGCUGGUUUGAGAGGAUGAUCAGCAACACUGGGACUGAGACACGGCCCAGACUCCUACGGGAGGCAGCAGUGGGGAAUCUUAGACAAUGGGGGAAACCCUGAUCUAGCGAUGCCGCGUGAGUGACGAAGGCCCUAGGGUCGUAAAGCUCUUUCAACUGUGAAGAUAAUGACGGUAGCAGUAGAAGAAACCCCGGCUAACUCCGUGCCAGCAGCCGCGGUAAUACGGAGGGGGUUAGCGUUGUUCGGAAUUACUGGGCGUAAAGCGCGCGUAGGCGGACUAUUAAGUCGAGGGUGAAAUCCCGGGGCUCAACCCCGGAACUGCCUUCGAUACUGGUAGUCUUGAGUUCGAGAGAGGUGAGUGGAAUUCCGAGUGUAGAGGUGAAAUUCGUAGAUAUUCGGAGGAACACCAGUGGCGAAGGCGGCUCACUGGCUCGAUACUGACGCUGAGGUGCGAAAGUGUGGGGAGCAAACAGGAUUAGAUACCCUGGUAGUCCACACCGUAAACGAUGAAUGCCAGACGUCGGGCAGUAUACUGUUCGGUGUCACACCUAACGGAUUAAGCAUUCCGCCUGGGGAGUACGGUCGCAAGAUUAAAACUCAAA
rnacentral:rRNA from 1 species